CUGAAAUACAAAACCUUUCUUUCUCUUCUUCUAGAAUAAAGAGAAUCUAGGCCUUAUGGAAAGACUCACCAGUUUGUCUAAUGCACGUGCUCAAGGACUAGAAAAGAUCCAGGCUCUGGAGGCGGAGCUUGGAAAGCUGACCAAUGAGAUGGCAGCUUUAGAGGAGAGGGCGAGAACAAAGUCUGAAGAGGCCAAUCAGACAAUCGCUCUGCUUCAGAGUGACAAAGAGAAACUUACUGAGGCGAAUAAGGCUUUGGAGCAGAAACUGAAAGAGACGACCCUGCAGAUGCAAGAUCAAUUUGAGGAUGUAAAGAGAAAACUGAUGGAGGAUUUAGAAAGAGAGGAGAGAUUCAGAAAGGUGGCGGAGCACAACAGUGAACUCCAGAAGGAAGACUCGGAUAAAGAGAUCGUAGUACUGAAAGAGGAAAACCGUAGACUGAGAGAGGAGCGAAUCAGGCUCCAGACGCAAGUGGAGGAGGACGAG
rnacentral:lncRNA from 1 species